AGGGAAACACGAGUACUUAUGAGAAACA
rnacentral:piRNA from 1 species